rnacentral:rRNA from 1 species
CCCCAGGUCAGGCGGGACUACCCGCUGAGUUUAAGCAUA